rnacentral:rRNA from 1 species
CACAUGCAGUCGAGCGGGGAGGGUAGCUUGCUACCUGACCUAGCGGCGGACGGGUGAGUAAUGCUUAGGAAUCUGCCUAUUAGUGGGGGACAACAUUCCGAAAGAAUGGCUAAUACCGCAUACGCCCUACGGGGGAAAGCAGGGGAUCUUCGGACCUUGCGCUAAUAGAUGAGCCUAAGUCAGAUUAGCUAGUUGGUGGGGUAAAGGCCUACCAAGGCGACGAUCUGUAGCGGGUCUGAGAGGAUGAUCCGCCACACUGGGACUGAGACACGGCCCAGACUCCUACGGGAGGCAGCAGUGGGGAAUAUUGGACAAUGGGCGAAAGCCUGAUCCAGCCAUGCCGCGUGUGUGAAGAAGGCCUUUUGGUUGUAAAGCACUUUUAAGCGAGGAGGAGGCUACCGAGAUUAAUACUCUUGGAUAGUGGACGUUACUCGCAGAAUAAGCACCGGCUAACUCUGUGCCAGCAGCCGCGGUAAUACAGAGGGUGCGAGCGUUAAUCGGAUUUACUGGGCGUAAAGCGGGCGUGGCCGGCUUUUUAAGUCGGAUGUGAAAUCCCUGAGCUUAACUUAA